GUAUACCGUUACUCAAUACACACGGCUAUUUCACCACCGCAUAUCGACCAACGAAAAAUUGACGUUAUGAAGCUGGCUGCAGUGUUCGGCAAUAGAACAUGACCGACUACAAAUGUAUGAGUUGGAAAAAAAACAUUAAUUAUGACAUUAAGCUUAAAUACAAUAGCAGACGAAAGAAAAACACGUUUAUUAAUCAAACGAAAAGUAUAGAAACAAAAAAAAAAUAAAGAGAGAAACGCUCUGUCUCUAUCAUGGCCCAUGAAGUUAAGCAACG